rnacentral:rRNA from 1 species
CCUACGGGAGGCAGCAGUGGGGAAUAUUGGGCAAUGGGCGCAAGCCUGACCCAGCAACGCCGCGUGAAGGAAGAAGGCUUUCGGGUUGUAAACUUCUUUUGUCAGGGAAGAGUAGAAGACGGUACCUGACGAAUAAGCCACGGCUAACUACGUGCCAGCAGCCACGGUAAUACGUAGGUGGCAAGCGUUGUCCGGAUUUAAUGGGUGGAACGGGCGUGUAUCCGGGUUGACAAGUCAGAGGUGAAAUCCUGCGGCUUAACCGGAGAACUGCAUUUGAAACUGUUGAACUUGAGUACUGGAGAGGCAGACGGAAUUCCUAGUGUAGCGGUGAAAUGCGUAGAUAUUAGGAGGAACACCAGUGGCGAAGGCGGUCUGCUGGACAGCAACUGACGGUGAGGCGCGAAAGCGUGGGGAGCAAACAGGAUUAGAUACCCUUGUAGUC